rnacentral:rRNA from 1 species
UACGAAGGGGGCUAGCGUUGCUCGGAAUCACUGGGCGUAAAGGGUGCGUAGGCGGGUGUUUAAGUCAGGGGUGAAAUCCUGGAGCUCAACUCCAGAACUGCCUUUGAUACUGAAGAUCUUGAGUUCGGGAGAGGUGAGUGGAACUGCGAGUGUAGAGGUGAAAUUCGUAGAUAUUCGCAAGAACACCAGUGGCGAAGGCGGCUCACUGGCCCGAUACUGACGCUGAGGCACGAAAGCGUGGGGAGCAAACGGG